AUUGAACGCUGGCGGUAUGCUUAACACAUGCAAGUCGAACGAUGAGAAAGAGCUUGCUCUUUCGAUUAGUGGCGGACGGGUGCGUAACGCGUAGGAAUCUACCUAUUAGUGGGGGACAACUUAGGGAAACUUAAGCUAAUACCGCAUACGCCCUACGGGGGAAAGAAGGGGACCGCAAGACCUUUUGCUAAUAGAUGAGCCUGCGUAGGAUUAGCUAGUUGGUGGGGUAAAAGCUCACCAAGGCGACGAUCCUUAACUGGUUUGAGAGAAUGAUCAGUCACACUGGAACUGAGACACGGUCCAGACUCCUACGGGAGGCAGCAGUGGGGAAUAUUGGACAAUGGGCGAAAGCCUGAUCCAGCAAUACCGCGUGUGUGAAGAAGGCCUUAGGGUUGUAAAGCACUUUCAAUUGGAAGGAAAACCUCGAAGCUAAUACCUUCGAGUUUGACAUUACCUUUAGAAGAAGCACCGGCUAACCCCGUGCCAGCAGCCGCGGUAAGAC
rnacentral:rRNA from 1 species